rnacentral:rRNA from 1 species
UACGUAGGCAGCAAGCGUUGUUCGGAAUUACUGGGCGUAAAGAGUGUGUAGGCGGUGCUCCAAGUCUGUUGUGAAAUCUCCCGGCUCAACUGGGAGGGUGCGGCGGAAACUGGAAUGCUAGAGGAUGGGAGAGGUAAGCGGAAUUCCUGGUGUAGCAGUGAAAUGCGUAGAGAUGCGGAGGAACACCGAUGGCGAAGGCAGCCCCCUGGGCUAGCACUGACGCUCAGGCACGAAAGCGUGGGGAGCAAACAGG